ACACGUGGGUAACCUACCUAUAAGACUGGGAUAACUUCGGGAAACCGGAGCUAAUACCGGAUAAUAUUUCGAACCGCAUGGUUCGAUAGUGAAAGAUGGCUUUGCUAUCACUUAUAGAUGGACCUGCGCCGUAUUAGCUAGUUGGUAAGGUAACGGCUUACCAAGGCAACGAUACGUAGCCGACCUGAGAGGGUGAUCGGCCACACUGGAACUGAGACACGGUCCAGACUCCUACGGGAGCAGCAGUAGGGAAUCUUCGCAAUGGCGAAAGCCUGACGGAGCAACGCCGCGUGAGUGAUG
rnacentral:rRNA from 1 species